UACGAAGGGUGCAAACGUUGCUCGGAAUUAUUGGGCGUAAAGCGCACGUAGGCGGCAUUGCAAGUCGGAUGUGAAAUCUUAUGGCUUAACCAUAAAAAGUGCAUCCGAAAACUGCAGUGCUUGAGUACUUAAGAGGAUCGCGGAAUUCCCGGUGUAGAGGUGAAAUUCGUAGAUAUCGGGAGGAACACCGGUGGCGAAGGCGGGGUCUCUGGGCCGAUACUGACGCUGAGGAGCGAAAAGCGUGGGGGAGCGAACAGG
rnacentral:rRNA from 1 species